CGUACGUGAGGACGCGAGGAUCCUCGGACCGGGAGACCGGUCGCCGCGGGGCGGAGCACCGCCCCGACGGUCCGAGGGGAGCGAGCGGCGAGACCGACCUCAGAACCG
rnacentral:ncRNA from 1 species